rnacentral:rRNA from 1 species
UGGGGAAUAUUGCACAAUGGGCGCAAGCCUGAUGCAGCCAUGCCGCGUGUAUGAAGAAGGCCUUCGGGUUGUAAAGUACUUUCAGCGGGGAGGAAGGCGAUAAGGUUAAUAACCUUGUCGAUUGACGUUACCCGCAGAAGAAGCACCGGCUAACUCCGUGCCAGCAGCCGCGGUAAUACGGAGGGUGCAAGCGUUAAUCGGAAUUACUGGGCGUAAAGCGCACGCAGGCGGUCUGUCAAGUCGGAUGUGAAAUCCCCGGGCUCAACCUGGGAACUGCAUUCGAAACUGGCAGGCUAGAGUCUUAUAGAGGGGGGUAGAAUUCCAGGUGUAGCGGUGAAAUGCGUAGAGAUCUGGAGGAAUACCGGUGGCGAAGGCGGCCCCCUGGACAAAGACUGACGCUCAGGUGCGAAAGCGUGGGGAGCAAACA